UACGAAGGGGGCUAGCGUUGCUCGGAAUCACUGGGCGUAAAGAGCUCGUAGGUGGUUUGUCGCGUUGUUCGUGAAAACUCACAGCUCAACUGUGGGCGUGCGGGCGAUACGGGCAGACUGGAGUACUGCAGGGGAGACUGGAAUUCCUGGUGUAGCGGUGAAAUGCGCAGAUAUCAGGAGGAACACCGGUGGCGAAGGCGGGUCUCUGGGCCGAUACUGACGCUGAGGAGCGAAAGCGUGGGGAGCGAACAGG
rnacentral:rRNA from 1 species